CAAUCUAUCUUGGCUGUAUUUCAAUCUCUCAUUCUCUUAGUCCCAUAAUCCCAUUUAUCAGACACACCUUUCUCCCUCUCUCCUCUCUUUGCAAAAAUAUCCCCAAACCCUGCUAACCCUAACCUUCUUCUACGAGGUACCAUCGGCGAUAGAUUUCUGCCUCCGUCACCUCCAACCUUCAUCGACGCACCCAUCGCAGAUUCUUCUACAGCUAGAUCCGUUUCUCAAUGAACUCACCAGCAUGUUCGAGCAAAGCACUGAGACGGGCUCUGUUUGGGUUACACUUGAAGAUGUGUGUAUCAUCCUUGAAGUCUCAAGCCGUUAGGAAUUAAAUGGCAACUGCUGGUGAAGCAAUUGAGUAUAGAUGCCUUAUCCAUGCCACCAAUGGAAAAAAGACAAUCUCUACUUCGGGUGUCCAGAAACAGCUGCCUGUGGGGGCAUCACGAGUGACUCUGUUGGUGAGAAAUUUGAAGAAAAAAUCAUUGUGGUCCAGGAUUUUGGAGGAGGUAAUGGAAAAGCUUGUAGACAUUGUGUAUUUUUUGCAUUUGGAGAUACAUGAAGCAUUUGGCAGUGCUGGUGCUUUCAAGAACUACAAAUAAUUGAUUAUGAGCAUUUGGCAGUAUGGAAUAUCUCCUUAGGAUUCCAGUUUUUGCACUCAAUCUCUGCUACCUAUCCACUAGGGAAGACCAUUAUUAAAAUGUGCAUUUUGCUUCUGGCAUUUUGUUUUGGAGAUGUCAUUCUUGUGAUUUGUUACUACUUUAUUCUUGUGAUAUUUUAGCCAUUUUUAACUU